rnacentral:rRNA from 1 species
GGUUGUAGGACACUCUAUACGGAGUUACAAAGGACGACAUUAGACGAAUCAUCUGGAAAGAUGAAUCAAAGAAGGUAAUAAUCCUGUAGUCGAAAAUGUUGUCUCUCUUGAGUGGAUCCUGAGUACGACGGAGCACGUGAAAUUCCGUCGGAAUCUGGGAGGACCAUCUCCUAAGGCUAAAUACUCUCUAGUGACCGAUAGUGAACCAGUACCGUGAGGGAAAGGUGAAAAGCACCCCGGAAGGGGAGUGAAAUAGAACCUGAAACCGUGUGCUUACAAGUAGUCAGAGCCCGUUAAUGGGUGAUGGCGUGCCUUUUGUAGAAUGAACCGGCGAGUUACGAUUUGAUGCAAGGUUAAGCAGUAAAUGUGGAGCCGUAGCGAAAGCGAGUCUGAAUAGGGCGUUUAGUAUUUGGUCGUAGACCCGAAACCAGGUGAUCUACCCUUGGUCAGGUUGAAGUUCAGGUAACACUGAAUGGAGGACCGAACCGACUUACGUUGAAAAGUGAGCGGAUGAACUGAGGGUAGCGGAGAAAUUCCAAUCGAACCUGGAGAUAGCUGGUUCUCUCCGAAAUAGCUUUAGGGCUAGCCUCAAGUGAUGAUUAUUGGAGGUAGAGCACUGUUUGGACGAGGGGCCCCUCUCGGGUUACCGAAUUCAGACAAACUCCGAAUGCCAAUUAAUUUAACUUGGGAGUCAGAACAUGGGUGAUAAGGUCCGUGUUCGAAAGGGAAACAGCCCAGACCACCAGCUAAGGUCCCAAAAUAUAUGUUAAGUGGAAAAGGAUGUGGCGUUGCCCAGACAACUAGGAUGUUGGCUUAGAAGCAGCCAUCAUUUAAAGAGUGCGUAAUAGCUCACUAGUCGAGUGACACUGCGCCGAAAAUGUACCGGGGCUAAACAUAUUACCGAAGCUGUGGAUUGUCCUUUGGACAAUGGUAGGAGAGCGUUCUAAGGGCGUUGAAGCAUGAUCGUAAGGACAUGUGGAGCGCUUAGAAGUGAGAAUGCCGGUGUGAGUAGCGAAAGACGGGUGAGAAUCCCGUCCACCGAUUGACUAAGGUUUCCAGAGGAAGGCUCGUCCGCUCUGGGUUAGUCGGGUCCUAAGCUGAGGCCGACAGGCGUAGGCGAUGGAUAACAGGUUGAUAUUCCUGUACCACCUAUAAUCGUUUUAAUCGAUGGGG